CGACGAGAGCAAGUAUUUUGCUGUUUAACUUGUGAAUUGCCCCCCAAAGGAGAACGGCGUCAGGGGAGCAAAUUGUCA
rfam:Lyngbya sp. PCC 8106 1099428180515, whole genome shotgun sequence.